rnacentral:lncRNA from 1 species
AUUAUCAAGAAACUGUUAGCAAAUAAGCCCAUAUUACCGACAUAAAGAGGCCACCACGUUCGCUACCAUCGAAACACCCCUUGCAUUAUACCGACAAACGAGAAAGCCGAAAACUCUAAAUGUCAUGAGAUGGCAACAUUGCGAGCGACUGUCACUCAUACAAGCGCACGCAUCGAAUGAUCAACGAAAGAUCGAGAACACGGAUCAUUCUUCAUCAGCCGCCAUCGCGAAAAGAGCGAUAAGUAACGCGUGUGAAAAUUUGUGUCCGGAAAGCGGAUUUGAGUUCCCGGAAAGACGUUGUUUCCCAACGGAACAACCAACAUCCUCGACAGGACUGUCGAUAUUGCCACCACACGAACAAAUUUGCCUUGAUUGCUGGCCGAAUACAACGACGGGGACACGUUUGAGGGAGGUUCGCGCAAAACCGCAUGGUGGACUAAUAAUUCGCCGGAGCGGAAUUUGACCGCAGGAACACCCACAACCUCACAGCAAACCCAUCCGUCGUCGAUCGCUCAACAAAGCCUAAUUCUCGGCAAAAAACCACCAGGGCCGGUGACGGCAAAAGGACCAUUUCCAAGGAUAUCACGCUAAUUGACCGCAGGAACUUCAACAUCUCGCAGCAAAACUUCAUCGUCGAUUGCUCAAGGCCCUUUCUCCGACAGAAAACCACCAGGACCGUUGAGUCACAAGGACCGUUUCCGGAAGAACUAUCCAGCGGACAUCUUCACUGACAGUCCGAAUCCGGAGGCCACAACGUAGACGCAGACAGAGCCGAUUGUCGAGGGCAAGCAAUAACGAACGAGAGGGCGCAAGCAUAAUUCAUCGGUACUGACCAGUCGUGACGACGGUGUGCCUUGAACGUGCUGACAUCGAUUGCAAAUUGCACGUGCACAACGGGUGUGCAAAGAACAAGUGCUUCGCAGGGAACAACACAAGCCACGGAAAACCCCUUUACAGGGGUUUUUCUCCUAUAUUUACAGUUUUUCACCACAAACUGCGGUGGUCCGGCUGAAGCGAUCCACGGACGGUCUCCAAUUGCAUCCAUACUCAGCACGCAGUUCUAAAGCACACUCCGAUCUCAGUUGGCAUUCGCACCGCGACGUUCGAAGGACCCAGAGAUGGAUGGAGCUCAGCAAAAGUCGACCGCGCAGUCGGUCACGAAAAUGUCGGCGGGGUUCUUAGCGAUGGUGGCCCAUUAGCUCCGGUACCGUGAGUACCAACACCCUUAGGUUAAGCAAAAUUUGUAAGGGGAAUGUACGUUAGAGUUAGACCCACUAGCUAGAGCAGGAACUAGGGGGGAAAGAUGAUCAUGUCGUUCAAUAUAAGUAUUUAAAAUGCAACUUCUGGUUUAUGUGAUUUGAGUUGAGCUUUAGCCCUUCAGUGUUUGUGACUUUGAUCCUUUGAGCUUUCCGCUUCGGUAGUCUAGCUCUACCUCCACCGGGAAACUUG